UAAAAGUAGCGAAGCGUGUGGAGUCACUGUCAGGAAAAGCCGCUAUUGCGUAUCAUGAACCCGUACCGUAAACCGACACAGGUGGAUGAGGAGAGAAUUCUAAGGCCGACGGAAGAAGCAUUGUUAAGGAAUUCGGCAAAAUGACCCCGUAACUUCGGGAGAAGGGGUGCCUACGAAUGUAGGCCGCAGAGAAUUGGCCCAAGCAACUGUUUAGCAAAAACACAGGUUUAUGCGAAACCGAAAGGUGAAGUAUAUGAGCUGACGCCUGCCCGGUGCUGGAAGGUUAAGGGGAGAGCUUAGAGGCAACUCGAAGGUUCGAACUUAAGCCCCAGUAAACGGCGGCCGUAACGAUAACGGUCCUAAGGUAGCGAAAUUCCUUGUCGGGUAAGUUCCGACCCGCACGAAAGGCGUAAUGAUUUGGGCACUGUCUCGACAAUGCAUCCGGUGAAAUUGAAAUACCAGUGAAGAUGCUGGUUACCCGCGCCAGGACGGAAAGACCCCAUGGAGCUUUACUCCAGUUUGAUGCUGGGAUUCGGUACUGCAUGUACAGGAUAGGCGGGAGACUAGGAAGAUAUAACGCCAGUUGUAUCAGAGUCGCUGUUGGGAUACCGCCCUUGCAGUACUGGGUUUCUAACCUGCCACCGUGAACCGGUGGAGGGACAACGUCAGGCGGGGAGUUUGACUGGGGCGGUCGCCUCCGAAAGGGUAUCGGAGGCGCUCAAAGGUUCCCUCAGAAUGGUUGGAAACCAUUCGAAGAGUGCAAAGGCAGAAGGGAGCUUGACUGCGAGGUCGACGGACCGAGCAGGUACGAAAGUAGGACUUAGUGAUCCGGUGGUAGAAAGUGGGAUUGCCAUCGCUCAACGGAUAAAAGCUACCCUGGGAUAACAGGCUAAUCACUCCCAAGAGUUCACAUCGACGGAGUGGUUUGGCACCUCGAUGUCGGCUCAUCGCAUCCUGGGGCUGUAGCAGGUCCCAAGGGUUGGGCUGUUCGCCCAUUAAAGCGGUACGCGAGCUGGGUUCAGAACGUCGUGAGACAGUUCGGUCCCUAUCCGGCGCGGGCGUAGGAUAUCUGAAAGGAGCUGGCCUUAGUACGAGAGGACCGGGCUGGACGGACCGCUGGUGUAUCUGUUGUCAUACCAAUGGCAUAGCAGGGUAGCCAAGUCUGGAAGGGAUAAACGCUGAAGGCAUCUAAGCGUGAAGCCCCCCUUAAGAUAAGAUAUCCCUGGAGUUAAUCCAGUAAGACCCCUUGAAGACGACGAGGUAGAUAGGGCAGAGGUGGAAGUGUGGUAACACAUGGAGCUGACUGUCACUAAUAGGUCGAGGGCUCGAAA
rnacentral:rRNA from 1 species